rnacentral:rRNA from 1 species
CUGCGCUAGCCCGGAAGGCUAAGCCAUGCAACUCGGGCCACCCGCAAGGGGAGCGGGCUACUGCUGCUUAAUACCGUGCUGACGUGCGCUGCGGAGGGGGACAGCCGCGGGAAACUGCGGGCAAGCCCCGUGCGGGGAGGCGACUCCCGGCGACCGAGGGCCGGAGCAUCGGGCACGGGCCUAUUAGGUAGAUGGCGGUGUGUUGGACCGCCAUGCCGACGAUGGGUGCGGGGGAUCAGGGUCCGAUUCCGCAGAGAAAGGCUGAGAGACCGCUUUCAUAGUCAAGGCUAGCAGCAGGUGCGCAAACUAUCCAAUGGCCGCAGGCCGAGAUGGUUAAUGGGCGUCCCUAGGGGAGAGCGCGCGAAACAACCCCGCGCGAGGGCGAUCUGCGCUAAAUUCUGGUGCCAGCAGGCGCGGUAAUACCAGGGCAGCGAGCGCAGCAGGUGGUUACUGCGAUUAAAGGUCCUAAGCCGGCGCAGGGGGCCGCGUUUCAAACUGAGAGCGACCUGUCCCAAGAGGGAAGGAGAGGCGCGCGACCCCCAUACUGCACGGAGGACUCCGACGGCGGGAGUAUUGCGCGGCGAGAGGUGGAAUUCAUUGACCCGCGCAGGACUACCGGAGGCGAAGGCGCCCGCCGAGGAGUGCCUCUUCGGCCAAGGACCAAAGCCGGGGUAGCGAUAACGAUUAGAGACCGUUGUAGUCCCGGCCGCAAACCUUGCUGACAGGCGCCCCCUCCCCAAACAAAGGGAGGGGGGCGCCGCGGCGAAAGCGUAGUCUUCGAGUCUCUUGGAGAGUAUGCCCGCAAGAGUGAAACUUAAAAGAGUUGGCGGAGUCCCAUACAUAACCUGGAACAUGCGGUUUAAUUCUAUUCUACGCGGGGAACUUACCGGGGCCGGGGCGAGGGUGAGUCCCCUAAAACGCGCUGCACGCGGGGGACGAUCGCGCCGGGGGUUGUGCAUGGCCACCCGAAGCCUGUGGAGUGAUCUCCAAGUUCGUUCUGGGAAUCGGCGAGACCCAAGCCCCAAUCCAAGGGGCACAGCGCGCGAAAGCGCACAGCAGGCCGGGCCAAGGUAGGUCCGUAUGCAUUUCACGUCCCGGGUGACCCGCGUGUUACAAUGCGCCGCCCAGCAAUACAAGGGCGACAGCCCCAACCGCAGAGCGGCGCGCAGUGGGGAUCGGCCGCUGGGAAGGCGCCCGUGAACUAGGAACGUUUCGUAAGCGCGCUUCAUCAUGGCGCGCUGAGUAGGUCCCGGGGACUUGUUCACACUGUCCGUCGCACGUAUCAACGCUAGUCGCGGCGAGCGCCAGAUCGGAAGAGCACACGUCUGAACUCCAGUCACCCUAGGUAUCUC